GCGCGGGUGUUGGAAUUGGUAGACAAGUUUGACUUAAAAUCAAAUGCCCAAAAGGCGUGCGGGUUCGAUUCCCGCCCCGCGCACCA
rnacentral:tRNA from 1 species